GGAGAGGUGGCCGAGUGGCCGAAGGCAACGGUUUGCUAAACCGUCACAGGGUGAAAGCUCUGUCGCGGGUUCAAAUCCCGCCCUCUCCGCCA
rnacentral:tRNA from 1 species